AGAAAAAGAUUGAAAUUCACCUGGGAGCGCAUGCUGCUAAACCAAGCUCAUGUAUGAAAUUGACAGCUCAUAAGGUAAAAGGCCUUUACUUCAAAAUGACAGCAGCGCUCUGAAAUGUAAGUUUAUACAUGAACAGUACAAAAUCCUAUACUGUCUACCAAAAAUUUUCCAUAUAGAUGCACAAAUAGUAUCCAUCAGAAUCCAAUAAGAUUACCAGAAUUCCAAAACAGGCUGUAUUUUAGGUCACUUCAGUCUGUUCAGAGGAAUUAUGGGGAACUGAUUUUCAUGUUAUUAUUAUUAAUAAGAAAAAACUUAACAGCAUGAAGCUAAGUUGCAGUAUGAAAAGAUUUUUUAUGAACAGACAAGUUAAUAAGACAGUGAAAUAAUAUUUUGUCCAGUAGAUGGCCAAUUAUGUUUGCGUAGACAGAAAAAUGUCAAGUUAGAAACAUGUUUUCCCUGCCUUACCUCACCUCUCUUUGCCUUCUUUUCCCUUCUUUUCCCUCUCCUUCUGUUCUCUUAUCUCCCCUUCCCAAUUAAUAUUCUUUGACAGGUCCUCCCUGAAGCAAAAUAUAUUCCUGUACAACUCUGGGUGUGACCAUGAGCAUAAUUUGGCACAAGAUCUCUUCUAGAACAAUUGCCUGCCAUCAUUACAAAUCUGCCUCUUGUCCUUGUUUCCCAAUUGUUUGAUGGUAUUAACAGGAGCAAAAAGAAUAUUCAAGACACCUUCUUGAUACUUCCCUGUAAGAACUUGGAGUAGCUGCUAAGAGAAUGCCCUUGCAGCUGAGAGAAAAAUGUUUGCAUUCCACUCUGAAUGGCAGGAUGGGCUAUCCCACAGGUGUCAAUAGGAGCACCCAGGAGCUGCAAUGAGGGUGCCAGGCACUGUACAAAAGAAGGGUAAGUAAAUGACUCUUCUUAACCAGACUGCUGAGCUCCAUACUCAUUUGAGAUUACUGGUUUACAGUAUUA
rnacentral:lncRNA from 1 species